CACUUGUGCUUGUGUGCUCGGUCAGCAGUGUGCCAUAGGGGUUUGGAAUCAGAAGGUUAUGGGUUUAUAUCCUUAGUCAGGAUUGCUCUGCUAUUGUACCCUUGAGGAAGGCACUUAGACAUAGCUUUAAUAAAUACCCGGCUCUGUGAAUGGAUUAUGGGGAUUGCUGCAUGCACUGUAAACCUGGGUGGUAUAUCUAAUAUCCCGGGGCAAAAAGAUGCUCCCUUUCAGGUUCUUUGAAACGGAGAUAAUGACGUCACGGUGCUGUAGCGAAGAAACGGAUCUGAAGAUAGGCUGGAGAAGGCCUGAGAGAGGACGCACGCCAUCGCUUGGCAACCAGACUAAAGGAUGCCUGUUGCGAGGAUGCCGGGACCAUCGCAGAGCAACAUUAUUAGAAAGAUGCUUGACUAUAUAUUGAUUAUGUGAUUGUUUUUAUGUUAGUCUUGGUCUACACCUCAGAGUUGCCUACUGCCUACAGUCCAGAUUGUCUGUUGUCUGCAUUCAGCUCAUCUUGACAAUACCAUCUUUGCUUACAAACUUUUUCUACAAUGUGUUAAGUCGCUAAUAGUAGCCUUCGUGUUACCUUUUAGUUAUAGAAAGUUAUUUUAGAUAAGAGUGCAGAUUGUAAGGAUAGUUAGCGCUUACCCCAGUUUCUAACUCGAAAAAUCUGUAAGGAAUUGGAGGACGGACUUCUAGAAAAGAAGAUCUUCAACUCUGGCGUGGGUCAUAUAUACCUGCCGGUGAGAUCCCAAAACCUGCGCUGAACCUGUAUACAUGCUUAGAACACCUUUAGGACACAUAAAUCGAAUUUGCUGUAUAUUUGCUUUGCUGUAUAAUAAACACCUUCUUGCCUUUUA